AGUGAACGCUGGCGGUAGGCCUAACACAUGCAAGUCGAACGGCAGCACAGUAAGAGCUUGCUCUUACGGGUGGCGAGUGGCGGACGGGUGAGGAAUACAUCGGAAUCUACUUUUUCAUGGGGGAUAACGUAGGGAAACUUACGCUAAUACCGCAUACGACGUACGGGUGAAAGCAGGGGAUCUUCGGACCUUGCGCGAUUGAAUGAGCCGAUGUCGGAUUAGCUAGUUGGCGGGGUAAAGGCCCACCAAGGCGACGAUCCGUAGCUGGUCUGAGAGGAUGAUCAGCCACACUGGAACUGAGACACGGUCCAGACUCCUACGGGAGGCAGCAGUGGGGAAUAUUGGACAAUGGGCGCAAGCCUGAUCCAGCCAUACCGCGUGGGUGAAGAAGGCCUUCGGGUUGUAAAGCCCUUUUGUUGGGAAAGAAAAGCAGCAGGUUAAUACCCCGCUGUUCUGACGGUACCCAAAGAAUAAGCACCGGCUAACUUCGUG
rnacentral:rRNA from 1 species